rnacentral:rRNA from 1 species
UACGUAGGGUGCUAGCGUUGUUCGGAAUCACUGGGCGUAAAGGGCGUGUAGGCGGUCUGUUAAGUCUGAUGUGAAAUCCCCUCGCUCAACGAGGGAACUGCGUCGGAUACUGGCAGACUUGAGUACCGGAGAGGAAGGUGGAAUUCCCGGUGUAGCGGUGAAAUGCGUAGAUAUCUGGAGGAACACCGGUGGCGAAGGCGGCAUCCUGGACCGGCAUUGACGCUGAGGCGCGAAAGCCAGGGGAGCAAACGGG